UACGGAGGGUGCGAGCGUUGUCCGGAAUCAUUGGGCGUAAAGGGCGCGUAGGUGGCCCGGUCAGUUCGUGGUGAAAGCGCGGGGCUCAACCCUGCGUCGGCCAUGAAUACUGCCGCGGCUGGAGCACUGUAGAGGCAGGCGGAAUUCCGGGUGUAGCGGUGGAAUGCGUAGAGAUCCGGAAGAACACCGGUGGCGAAGGCGGCCUGCUGGGCAGUUGCUGACACUGAGGCGCGACAGCGUGGGGAGCA
rnacentral:rRNA from 1 species